rnacentral:rRNA from 1 species
CAGUCGCCGCGGGAAUACGAAGGUCCCGAGCGUUGUUCGGAAUCACUGGGCGUAAAGGGAGCGUAGGCGGCGUGGUAAGUCAGAUGUGAAAUCCCGGGGCUCAACCCCGGAACUGCAUCCGAUACUGCCAUGCUAGAGGAUUGGAGAGGUAGCUGGAAUUCUUGGUGUAGCAGUGAAAUGCGUAGAGAUGUGGCGGAAUACCGAUGGCGAAGGCAGCCCCCUGGGCCAAUACUGACGCUCAUGCACGAAAGCGUGGGGAGCAAACAGGAUUAGAUACCCCUGUAGUCCCUGUCUCUUAUAA